CGGCGAGUGAAGCGGCAAUAGCUCAAAUUUGAAAUCUGCCAACAGGCCGAGUUGUAAUUUGAAGAAAGCAAUUCUGGAUGUGUCUUUGCUCAAGUUCCUUGGAACAGGACAUCAUGGAGGGUGAGAAUCCCGUGAUGCGAAGGUAGCAUAUCUAUGUAGAAUGUUUUCGACGAGUCGAGUUGUUUGGGAAUGCAGCUCAAAGUGGGUGGUAAAUUCCAUCUAAAGCUAAAUAUUGGCGAGAGACCGAUAGCGAACAAGUACUGUGAAGGAAAGAUGAAAAGAACUUUGAAAAGAGAGUGAAAAAGUACGUGAAAUUGUUGAAAUGGAAGGGCUUGAGAUUAGACAUGGUGUUUAGUGUUCCACUUUCUUUUGGGAAUGUGUACUCGCUUUACACCGGGCCAGCAUCAGUUUUGGUGGGAGGAUAAAUGGUAUUGAAUGUGGCUGCUUGCAGUGUUAUAGCUUUAUCAAAUACUUCCAAUCGGGACUGAGGACCGCGCAUUUGCUAGGAUGCUGGCGUAAUGAUCUUAAGCCACCCGUCUUGAACCACGGAC
rnacentral:rRNA from 1 species